CCCAGAUUCGGUAUCUUUGCCUCCCCCGUACAGCUGCAUCAACGCGCGCAGUCCCAGCAACAAGUAAGCCCUAGCCAAGUGCCCACCUUCGUUACCUUCAGCGUCCUGACAGUCGCUGAUCCUUUUUAUAAAUUUGCCUACCAACUCCACUAGACCUCGCUCCAGGUACCCUAGAUGAUUGUUUGUGUGGACAGCCAUGUUCUUCCAUUCAUUGAUUAGCUUCUCUUGGGCCUCUAGUAUUUCCCGAUGCUCAUUUUCA
rnacentral:lncRNA from 1 species